rnacentral:tRNA from 1 species
UUCCUGGUGGCUAAGAUGGUAAAGCAUCUGCCUUCAAUGUGGGAGGCCUGGGUUUGAUCCCUGGUUGGGAAG